rnacentral:rRNA from 1 species
CUACGGGGGGCUGCAGUGAGGAAUAUUGCACAAUGGAGGAAACUCUGAUGCAGCAACGCCGCGUGGAGGAUGACACUUUUCGGAGCGUAAACUCCUUUUAUAUAGGAAGAAGAUGACGGUACUAUAUGAAUAAGCGCCGGCUAGCUCCGUGCCAGCAGCCGCGGUAAUACGGAGGGCGCAAGCGUUUCUCGGAAUCACUGGGCGUAAAGAGCGUGUAGGCGGAUUAAAAAGUCAGAAGUGAAAUCCUAUAGCUUAACUAUAGAACUGCUUCUGAAACUCUUAAUCUAGAAUAUGGGAGAGGUAGAUGGAAUUUCUGGUGUAGGGGUAAAAUCCGUAGAGAUCAGAAGGAAUACCGAUUGCGAAGGCGAUCUACUAGAACAUUAUUGACGCUGAGACGCGAAAGCGUGGGGAGCAAACAGGAUUAGAUACCCCCGUAGUC